GAAGGAAAUGGCAAACCGCUCUAGUACCUCUGCCAAGAAAACCUCAAAAGGGGUCAUGAAGAAUCAGACAGGAUUGAACUGCUACAAUUAUUUGCAUAUGCCAUAAUUUGUCCAGUCAUUUCUUAGUCUCCCUGGAAUAUUUUCAUAUUUGUUUCUAGCUUUUCCAGUCACAAAUAAUGCAGCCUCUGUGCCCAUUUUUGUACAGAAGGGUCUUCGUCAAUCCUUUCCUUGGAAUCUCUUGGUCGAAGGGGGUGUAUGACUUAGUAGCCACAUUUGCACAGUUCCAGGCUGUUUUUCAGGAGUGCUGUUGCCACGUGCAACAUCUUUUAUAAACGCCCUGGCGGGGAGCCUGGCAGAAGCUGCGGGCCAUGCCAUCCUUGCUGGAGGUUUCGAUGACACUGAAGAAUGCAUGAGAGACGGAAGUGAGGCGGGGGUGCACUGCAGGCCUGGGGGACAAAGGCUGGGAGGCAGGAGAUGAGGGUGAUGCAUGCAAGGCCAGCCUGGUGCAAUCCUCCUGGGCACGGAUUCUGGGCGGGGGAGGCUGUUUAAUGCCAAACGGGGCAGCCGGAUGAUCCAGACAAUCCCGUAGGUAAUAGUUGGAGUGGGCCGUGGGCACCUCUAGCCAAGCCACAGCAAGAGCAGGUCAGACGCCGGAGGGCCAAAGCCACGCGGACAGCACCCCGGGCACCUGGCCGCGGAGCCGCCGUGCGCACGCGCACCACGCCCGUUGACGUCAUGCACUGCUUGGCCUCCGGGGCGGCCGCACGCUCGCCAUGAUAGCCGUGGGCCGCCUCCGGCUGGCCCGAGGCUUCCUGGAGGGGCUGCGGCGGCCGGCGCUGGUCGUGCGCGCGGCCGGCGCCGCCACGAGCCUCCGCCGCCCUCCCCCGCCCGUCCCCGGGCCCAGCCGCGGACGCCCGCGGAUCCUGUCGGCGGCCGCCAUCGUGGACGCGGCGCCCCGCCCUCUGCAGCCCUAUCUGCGCCUUAUGCGGCUGGACAAGCCCAUCGGAACCUGGCUGUUGUAUUUGCCUUGUACCUGGAGUAUUGGCUUGGCAGCAGAGCCAGGCUGUUUUCCAGACUGGUAUGUGUUGUCCCUUUUUGGCGCUGGCGCGAUACUGAUGCGGGGAGCUGGCUGUACAAUUAAUGACAUGUGGGAUCAGGACUAUGACAGAAAGGUUACAAGGACAGCAAAUCGACCAAUCGCUGCUGGGGAUAUUUCAACUUUUCAGUCUUUGGUUUUCCUUGGAGGACAGCUGAGCUUGGCACUGUGUGUACUCCUGUGUCUGAAUUAUUACAGUAUAGCACUGGGAGCCGCAUCAUUGUCUCUGGUGGUCAUUUAUCCUCUGAUGAAAAGAAUUACUUAUUGGCCGCAGUUAGCGUUGGGACUGACCUUUAACUGGGGAGCAUUACUGGGAUGGUCCGCCAUCAAAGGCUCCUGUGAUGUGUCUGUGUGCCUACCCCUUUAUCUCUCUGGAGUUAUGUGGACGUUAAUAUAUGACACUAUCUAUGCUCAUCAGAUACGGCUCGUGCACUUUAACCCCUUCCUUGAAUGACAGUCACCAGCCCAGCUCAAAACACUGCAGUGUGUUCCUGUUAACUCUGAGUAAAAAUGCCAGGUUCUGUGCCUGAUGUUCAAGGCUGUCCGUGGUCUGCCUCCAGCCUGUCUUUUCACCUCAUUUCACGUCGUCUCCUUUCACCGACUCCAUCCAUGUUCCAGCCAAACCGAGCUCUCAUGGCUGUUUCCGAAGGAAGGUAGUCCCGAGGCAUCUGGAUAGUCAACAGUUUGGUCCCUCUUCUCCCUCCUUCCUAAUUGUAGAUUUGGAACCGAAAGGGAACUUCAGAGGCUAGCCUCUCGAUUUGUAGGUGAGGAAACUGAGUCCCAUGGUGCUUGAAUGACUUACCCAAGAUCAGUCAGAGGCAGGAUUUGAACCCAGAGCCUCUAGCUCAGAAGCCACUACUUUCCAGAGUGUUUCACUUGUUCCUGUUUUCCAUUGUCUUUUUGCCCUUGGGCACCUGUUAAUAGCAGCUCCACCAGGUCUUUCUCAAAAGAGAACAUAGGUACAACCAUUUUUCCAACUGGCUGCGACUUCCUUCUUUCUUCUAGUUUUGUUUAUAACAUGAAUGUAAAGAUUGAGAAGUUCCUCCAGGGAUGUACCCCCUCGGUCACUGGACAAGAGUAUCGCAUUGAGAGUACCACGUACAGUAGAGUCCAGCAUAACCAAGUUUAUCAUUAUUGUUGUACUAUGAAUUUAGAAGACUGCAAAUCAAAUCAUACCCUGCAAACAUAAAAAUUUCACGGACUUUGAAGUAUGACGUAGCACAGACUGUAAGGCAGAUGUUAGACCGUUUUCUAGUGUCAGCAUUAUAAGAAGUUUCAGCCAUCUACCGACAGGGCAGCACAUAGAAAUUACUUAAAUAACGUCUGUGCAGAUAGGUUGAUGUAUUGAAGAAUUUACAUCUAUGCUUGUGUGGUAGGUACCAACAUCUGCUCCACACAGACUAGUCUUUCCCAAAAGGUAGAGAAAUUGUACUUGAGACUUACUCAGUGCAGGAGACUAAGCUCUGAAUAAGACUAAGGUGCGCACCAUGGACAUACUUCCUAGUUGCCUAAAGCAUGAUGAAACCGGGCGCCUCAGCAGGCACACCUGGAGCAGCAUGGUGGAUAGAGGGCCAGCCCUGGAGUCAGGAGGACUCAUCUUCCUGAGUUCAAAUCU